UAUUUCCAAGUCCUUAUCCUUCUGACCUAAAUAUUGGUCUGAGUGGCAAAAAAAGGAAGAAAAGUAAAACGGAAAUGGACUUGGAGCCUUUAGUGACAAAUUCAUUUCAAACAUAG
rnacentral:snoRNA from 1 species